rnacentral:piRNA from 1 species
UGCUAAGCCAUUCGUGAUGAGGAUGAUGU